UGAUGUUUAGUCCAAGUAUCUAAUCUUGCAGGUAGUACCCUUUACUCCGAGUGCUGGUAUACUUGAAUGGGUUGAUCGUACUAUUCCACUUGGCGAAUACCUUUUAGGAAGUGCAAGAAAUGGUGGAGCACAUGGACGUUAUGGGGUUGGAGAUUGGACAUUUCUUCAGUGCAGGGAAUACAUGAUGAAUGAGAAGGACAAGAGGAAGGCAUUUGUGAAAAUCUGUGACAAUUUCAGGUCUGUUCUGCAUUAUUUUUUUCUGGAGAAGUUUUUGCAACCCGCAGAUUGGUUUCAAGGCAGGCUUUCUUGUACAAGAAGUGUUGCAGCAAGUUCCAUGGUUGGUUACAUCGUAGGACUUGGACAUA